rnacentral:rRNA from 1 species
UCGGGAAUAUUGGACAAUGGGGGCAACCCUGAUCCAGCCAUGCCGCGUGUGUGAAGAAGGCCCUAGGGUUGUAAAGCACUUUAAGUUGUGAAGAAGGCCAGCAGCCGAAUAAGUUGUUGGAUUGACAUUAGCAACAGAAUAAGCACCGGCUAACUCCGUGCCAGCAGCCGCGGUAAUACGGAGGGUGCAAGCGUUAAUCGGAAUUACUGGGCGUAAAGCGCGCGUAGGUGGUUUGUUAAGUCAGAUGUGAAAGCCCAGGGCUCAACCUUGGAACUGCACCUGAUACUGGCAGGCUAGAGUACGGUAGAGGGAGGUAGAAUUCCACGUGUAGCGGUGAAAUGCGUAGAGAUGUGGAGGAAUACCAGUGGCGAAGGCGGCCUCCUGGACUGAUACUGACACUGAGGUGCGAAAGCGUGGGGAGCAAACA